AUUCCAGCUCCAAUAGCGUAUAUUAAAGUUGUUGCAGUUAAAAAGCUCGUAGUUGGAUUUCUGAUCUGAGCGUCCGGUCCGCCGCUGUGCGGUGUGUACUUGGUUCGACUCGGAUCUUCCUUGCAGGGAAUGUGUCUGGCCUUAAUUGGUCGGGUUCGGGAACUGCAUCGUUUACUGUGAAAAAAUUAGAGUGUUUAAAGCAGGCAUUUGCUGUGAAUACAUUAGCAUGGAAUAAUAAGAUAGGACUUUGGUUCUAUUUUGUUGGUUGGAGGCCAAGGUAAUGAUUAAUAGGGAUAGUUGGGGGUAUUCAUAUUUAAUUGUCAGAGGUGAAAUUCUUGGAUUUAUGAAAGAUGAACUUAUGCGAAAGCAUUUACCAAGGAUGUUUUCAUCA
rnacentral:rRNA from 1 species